UUUUUGUAAUUUUUCAUAUUAGCAUUUUCCCAUUCUAAAUAGCAUUUUCUUGACUAUUUAUAAACACUUUUCAAUCUUUCAAGAAUUUCAAUAAGAGUUUUCGCCUUCUAGUCUCUUAUCUCUAUUAUUUCGUCUUACCCAAACGUUAUUGGUUAAAACUCCUGACGAUGUCUAUUCCACCGUUUAAGGGUCAAUUUUGUAUUUUGAUAAUUUUUUUAGAUUUUUAUGUAAUUUUUCAUAUUAGCGUUUUUCUAUUAUAGAUAGCAUUUUAUUGGCUGUUUAUUUACACUUUUCAAUCUUUUAAGAAUUUCAAUAAGAGUUUUCAGCUUCUAAACUCUUGUUUCUAUUAUUUCGUCUUAGCCAAACGUUAUUAGUCAAAACUCCUGACUGUGUCUAAUCAUUCUAAAUUCCAUAGUUUAGGGAUUAUUUUUGCAUUUUGUUUGUCUUUUAGCCUCUUAUUUCUAUUGUUUCGUCUUAGCCAAACGUUAUUGGUUAAAACUCCUAAUGAUGUCUAAUCAGUCUAAAUUAAAUCGUUUAGGGAUUAUUUUUGCAUUUUGUUUGUCUUUUUAGAUUUCUUUAUAAUUUUCCAUAUUAAACUUUUUCUAUUAUAAAUCGUCUUUGCUUGACUAUUUAUAAACACUUUGCAAUCUUUUAAGAAUUUCAACAAGAAUUUUCGACUUUUAGCCUCAUGUUUCUAUUGUUUCGUCUUAGCCAAACAUUAUUAGUUAAAACUCCUGACAGUGUCUAAUCAGUCUAAAUUCCACCGUUUAGGGGUUAUUUUUGCAUUUUGUUUGUCUUUUUAGAUUUUAUUUAUAAUUUUCCAUAUUAAAGUUUUUUCUAUUAUAAAUCGUCUUUGCUUGACUAUUUAUAAACACUUUUCAAUUUUUCAAGAAUUUUAAUAAGAAUUUUCGACUUUUAGCCUCUUGUUUAUAUUGUUUCAUCUUAGCCAAACGUUAUUGAUUAAAACUCCUGACGGUGUCUAAUCAGUCUAAAUUCCACCAUUUAGGGAUUAUUUUUGCAUUUUGUUUGUCUUUUUAUAUUUUUUUAUAAUUUUCCAUAUUAAAGUUUUUUCUAUUAUAAAUCGUCUUUGCUUGACUAUUUAUAAAUACUUUUUAAUUUUUCAAGAAUUUCAAUAAGAGUUUUCGACUUUUAGCCUCUUGUUUCUAUUGUUUCAUCUUAACCAAACGUUAAUGGUUAAAACUCCUGACGGUGUCUAAUCAGUCUAAAUUCCAUCGUUUAGGGUGUCAAUUUUGCAUUUUGAUUAUUUUUUGAAUUUUUUUGUAU
rnacentral:lncRNA from 1 species